AACGAACGCUGGCGGCAUGCCUAACACAUGCAAGUCGAACGAGACCUUCGGGUCUAGUGGCGCACGGGUGCGUAACGCGUGGGAAUCUGCCCUUGGGUUCGGAAUAACAGUUGGAAACGACUGCUAAUACCGGAUGAUGACGUAAGUCCAAAGAUUUAUCGCCCAAGGAUGAGCCCGCGUAGGAUUAGCUAGUUGGUGAGGUAAAGGCUCACCAAGGCGACGAUCCUUAGCUGGUCUGAGAGGAUGAUCAGCCACACUGGGACUGAGACACGGCCCAGACUCCUACGGGAGGGAGCAGUGGGGAAUAUUGGACAAUGGGCGAAAGCCUGAUACAGCAAUGCCGCGGGAGUGAUGAAGGCCUUAGGGUUGUAAAGCUCUUUUACCCGGGAUGAUAAUGACAGUACCGGGAGAAUAAGCUCCGGCUAACUCCGUG
rnacentral:rRNA from 1 species